rnacentral:rRNA from 1 species
AGUGAACGCUGGCGGUAGGCCUAACACAUGCAAGUCGAACGGCAGCACAGGAGAGCUUGCUCUCUGGGUGGCGAGUGGCGGACGGGUGAGGAAUACAUCGGAAUCUACUCUGUCGUGGGGGAUAACGUAGGGAAACUUACGCUAAUACCGCAUACGACCUACGGGUGAAAGCAGGGGAUCUUCGGACCUUGCGCGAUUGAAUGAGCCGAUGUCGGAUUAGCUAGUUGGCGGGGUAAAGGCCCACCAAGGCGACGAUCCGUGGCUGGUCAUGGAGGAUGAUCAGCCCAGCUGGAACUGAGACACGGUCCAGACUCCUACGGGAGGCAGCAGUGGGGAAUAUUGGACAAUGGGCGCAAGCCUGAUCCAGCCAUACCGCGUGGGUGAAGAAGGCCUUCGGGUUGUAAAGCCCUUUUGUUGGGAAAGAAAUCCAGCUGGCUAAUACCCGGUUGGGAUGACGGUACCCAAAGAAUAAGCACCGGCUAACUUCGUGCCAGCAGCCGCCGUAA